GGAUUACUGGAAAGACAAUUACGUUGGUCGAUCGAGACGCAAUCGACGAGCCAACCCGUUGUUUCCUAUCACCAUGUGGAACAUGCGAGAACGUGUUGCUGAUGGCAUGCCGCGAACAAAUAACUCAGUCGAGGGUUGGCAUAACGCGUUCCAGUCGUCUUGGAUUUACCAGCAGUCAGGCAGCCAGAAAGUCUAAAUACGCUCAACUAUCAAGACGUCUUGCUGCAAUUCUUCCUACAUAUGCAGGGCGUGAUCUUAAGGACUAUCUGCGUGCCGCGUCUCAUAAUAUUGACUUCUAAAAUAAACAUUAUUAUAUAUGCUUUAAACUAGUAAUUCAUAUUUAAUGAAACUUUUGAAAACUU